GAUGAAGAACGCAGCGAAACGCGAUAAGUAAUGUGAAUUGCAGAAUUCAGUGAAUCAUCGAAUCUUUGAACGCACAUUGCGCCCAUUAGUAUUCUAGUGGGCAUGCCUGUUCGAGCGUCAUUUCAACCCUUAAGCCUAGCUUAGUAUUGGGAAUCGACUUUACUGUCGUUCCUCAAAUUCAACGGCGGAUUUAUAGCAAUCUCUGAACGUAGUAAUUUUUUUCCUCGUUUUUGAAAUACUAUAAACCUCAGCCGCUAAACCCCCAAUUUUUUUAUGGUUGACCUCGGAUCAGGUAGGAAUACCCGCUGAACUUAAGCAUAUCAAUAAGCUGAGGA
rnacentral:misc_RNA from 1 species